UUGCCUACGGGAGGCAGCAGUGAGGAAUAUUGGUCAAUGGGCGCGAGCCUGAACCAGCCAAGUAGCGUGAAGGAUGACUGCCCUACGGGUUGUAAACUUCUUUUAUAAAGGAAUAAAGUGAGGCACGUGUGCCUUUUUGUAUGUACUUUAUGAAUAAGGAUCGGCUAACUCCGUGCCAGCAGCCGCGGUAAUACGGAGGAUCCGAGCGUUAUCCGGAUUUAUUGGGUUUAAAGGGAGCGUAGACGGGACAGCAAGUUAGUUGUGAAAGCCCUCGGCUUAACUG
rnacentral:rRNA from 1 species